GGUUAAGCGACUAAGCGUACACGGUGGAUGCCCUGGCAGUCAGAGGCGAUGAAGGACGUGCUAAUCUGCGAAAAGCGUCGGUAAGGUGAUAUGAACCGUUAUAACCGGCGAUGUCCGAAUGGGGAAACCCAGUGCAAUUCGUUGCACUAUCGUUAACUGAAUACAUAGGUUAACGAGGCGAACCGGGGGAACUGAAACAUCUAAGUACCCCGAGGAAAAGAAAUCAACCGAGAUUCCCCCAGUAGCGGCGAGCGAACGGGGAGCAGCCCAGAGUCUGAAUCAGCUUGUGUGUUAGUGGAACGGUCUGGAAAGUCCGACGGUACAGGGUGAUAGUCCCGUACACCAAAAUGCACAGGUUGUGAACUCGAAGAGUAGGGCGGGACACGUGGUAUCCUGUCUGAAUAUGGGGGGACCAUCCUCCAAGGCUAAAUACUCCUGACUGACCGAUAGUGAACCAGUACCGUGAGGGAAAGGCGAAAAGAACCCCGGCGAGGGGAGUGAAAAAGAACCUGAAACCGUGUACGUACAAGCAGUGGGAGCACCUUCGGGUGUGACUGCGUACCUUUUGUAUAAUGGGUCAGCGACUUAUAUUCUGUAGCAAGGUUAACCGUAUAGGGGAGCCGCAGGGAAACCGAGUCUUAACUGGGCGUUAAGUUGCAGGGUAUAGACCCGAAACCCGGUGAUCUAGCCAUGGGCAGGUUGAAGGUUGGGUAACACUAACUGGAGGACCGAACCGACUAAUGUUGAAAAAUUAGCGGAUGACUUGUGGCUGGGGGUGAAAGGCCAAUCAAACCGGGAGAUAGCUGGUUCUCCCCGAAAGCUAUUUAGGUAGCGCCUCGUGAACUCAUCUUCGGGGGUAGAGCACUGUUUCGGCUAGGGGGUCAUCCCGACUUACCAACCCGAUGCAAACUACGAAUACCGAAGAAUGUUAUCACGGGAGACACACGGCGGGUGCUAACGUCCGUCGUGAAGAGGGAAACAACCCAGACCGCCAGCUAAGGUCCCAAAGUCAUGGUUAAGUGGGAAACGAUGUGGGAAGGCACAGACAGCCAGGAUGUUGGCUUAGAAGCAGCCAUCAUUUAAAGAAAGCGUAAUAGCUCACUGGUCGAGUCGGCCUGCGCGGAAGAUGUAACGGGGCUAAACCAUGCACCGAAGCUGCGGCAGCGACACUAUGUGUUGUUGGGUAGGGGAGCGUUCUGUAAGCCUGCGAAGGUGUGCUGUGAGGCAUGCUGGAGGUAUCAGAAGUGCGAAUGCUGACAUAAGUAACGAUAAAGCGGGUGAAAAGCCCGCUCGCCGGAAGACCAAGGGUUCCUGUCCAACGUUAAUCGGGGCAGGGUGAGUCGACCCCUAAGGCGAGGCCGAAAGGCGUAGUCGAUGGGAAACAGGUUAAUAUUCCUGUACUUGGUGUUACUGCGAAGGGGGGACGGAGAAGGCUAUGUUAGCCGGGCGACGGUUGUCCCGGUUUAAGCAUGUAGGCUGAUUGUCCAGGCAAAUCCGGAUAAUCAAGGCUGAGGUGUGAUGACGAGGCACUACGGUGCUGAAGUAACAAAUGCCCUGCUUCCAGGAAAAGCCUCUAAGCAUCAGGUAACAUCAAAUCGUACCCCAAACCGACACAGGUGGUCAGGUAGAGAAUACCAAGGCGCUUGAGAGAACUCGGGUGAAGGAACUAGGCAAAAUGGUGCCGUAACUUCGGGAGAAGGCACGCUGGUGUGUAGGUGAAGUCCCUGCGGAUGGAGCUGAGACCAGUCGAAGAUACCAGCUGGCUGCAACUGUUUAUUAAAAACACAGCACUGUGCAAACACGAAAGUGGACGUAUACGGUGUGACGCCUGCCCGGUGCCGGAAGGUUAAUUGAUGGGGUUAUCCGUAAGGAGAAGCUCUUGAUCGAAGCCCCGGUAAACGGCGGCCGUAACUAUAACGGUCCUAAGGUAGCGAAAUUCCUUGUCGGGUAAGUUCCGACCUGCACGAAUGGCGUAAUGAUGGCCAGGCUGUCUCCACCCGAGACUCAGUGAAAUUGAACUCGCUGUGAAGAUGCAGUGUACCCGCGGCAAGACGGAAAGACCCCGUGAACCUUUACUAUAGCUUGACACUGAACAUUGAGCCUUGAUGUGUAGGAUAGGUGGGAGGCUUUGAAGCGUGGACGCCAGUCUGCGUGGAGCCAACCUUGAAAUACCACCCUUUAAUGUUUGAUGUUCUAACGUUGGCCCCUGACCGGGGUUGCGGACAGUGUCUGGUGGGUAGUUUGACUGGGGCGGUCUCCUCCCAAAGCGUAACGGAGGAGCACGAAGGUUAGCUAAUCCUGGUCGGACAUCAGGAGGUUAGUGCAAUGGCAUAAGCUAGCUUGACUGCGAGCGUGACGGCGCGAGCAGGUGCGAAAGCAGGUCAUAGUGAUCCGGUGGUUCUGAAUGGAAGGGCCAUCGCUCAACGGAUAAAAGGUACUCCGGGGAUAACAGGCUGAUACCGCCCAAGAGUUCAUAUCGACGGCGGUGUUUGGCACCUCGAUGUCGGCUCAUCACAUCCUGGGGCUGAAGUAGGUCCCAAGGGUAUGGCUGUUCGCCAUUUAAAGUGGUACGCGAGCUGGGUUUAGAACGUCGUGAGACAGUUCGGUCCCUAUCUGCCGUGGGCGCUGGAGAAUUGAGGGGGGCUGCUCCUAGUACGAGAGGACCGGAGUGGACGCAUCACUGGUGUUCGGGUUGUCAUGCCAAUGGCACUGCCCGGUAGCUAAAUGCGGAAGAGAUAAGUGCUGAAAGCAUCUAAGCACGAAACUUGCCCCGAGAUGAGUUCUCCCUGAGACUUUAAGUCUCCUGAAGGAACGUU
rnacentral:rRNA from 1 species